UACGUAGGGGGCAAGCGUUGUCCGGAUUUAUUGGGCGUAAAGAGCUCGUAGGCGGCUCGGUAAGUCGGCUGUGAAACCUCCAGGCUCAACCUGGAGACGCCAUCUGAUACUGCCGUGGCUUGAGUCCGGUAGAGGAGCAGGGAAUUCCUGGUGUAGCGGUGAAAUGCGCAGAUAUCAGGAGGAACACCAGCGGCGAAGGCGCUGCUCUGGGCCGGUACUGACGCUGAGGAGCGAAAGCGUGGGGAGCGAACAGG
rnacentral:rRNA from 1 species